AUGUCAUCCCCACCGAAUCCUCAUCUUCAAAGCAUUUUCUUGCAAGGGCCUAUCGCGAAAGAACUCAAGCCAAUACUUUUUCAUUUUCAUGUAGUAGAUCCUAGGAAAUAUACGUACGAGAUAUUUACAACCUCGGCAAGGGUAUCCGGUAAAAGGAGGACGGUUCCUAAUCUUUUCAUCGGCAAAGGGUUCGAUGCAUUAGUUUUCGACUAUGAACGAGUCAAUCAGCUAGAUCUACUUGCGGCAAACAGCACCUUCCUUUCCCAGCCAAUGGUACGUAAGGCAAUGGUUGUUAUUGAAGUUCAGAUCAGGGAAUACCCUAGGUUUCGGCUUUUUCCACGGUUCCGUAACGGUAGGUUUCGGCUCCUCGCUACAUCCCUUCCGCUCCUACUAAGCACGCUGCUGAACCGAUAG
rnacentral:rRNA from 1 species